rnacentral:tRNA from 1 species
CCAGCGCCACCGUGGCGUCAUCGAACGGCGGCGUCUCGAAGGCGCCGAGCGGCCCGUUCCAGACGAGCGUGCGGCA